rnacentral:rRNA from 1 species
GACGAACACUGGCGGCGUGCUUAACACAUGCAAGUCGAACGAAGUGGCGAACGGGUGAGUAACGCGUAAUCAACCUGCCCUUCAGAGGGGGACAACAGUUGGAAACGACUGCUAAUACCGCAUACUGAAGGAGGGGAUUGCGUCUGAUUAGCGAGUUGGAGGGGUAACGGCCCACCAAGGCGAUGAUCAGUAGCCGGGCUGAGAGGAGGAUAAGUAACACUGGAACUGAGACACGGUCCAGACGCCUACGGGAGGAAGCAGUGGGGAAUAUUGGACAAUGGGCGAAAGCCUGAUCCAGUCAUGCCGCGUGUGUGAAGAAGGUCUUCGGAUUGUAAAGCACUUUAAGUUGGGAGGCGUUACCAACAGAAUAAGCACCGGCUAACUGCGUGCCAGCAGCCGCGGUAAUAC